UAAGGGCGCACGGUGGAUGCCUUGGCACUAGAAGCCGAUGAAGGACGUUACUAACGACGAUAUGCUUUGGGGAGCUGUAAGUAAGCUUUGAUCCAGAGAUUUCCGAAUGGGGAAACCCAGCAUGAGUUAUGUCAUGUUAUCGAUAUGUGAAUACAUAGCAUAUCAGAAGGCACACCCGGAGAACUGAAACAUCUUAGUACCCGGAGGAAGAGAAAGAAAAUUCGAUUCCCUUAGUAGCGGCGAGCGAAACGGGAAGAGCCCAAACCAACAAGCUUGCUUGUUGGGGUUGUAGGACACUCUAUACGGAGUUACAAAGGACGACAUUAGACGAAUCAUCUGGAAAGAUGAAUCAAAGAAGGUAAUAAUCCUGUAGUCGAAAAUGUUGUCUCUCUUGAGUGGAUCCUGAGUACGACGGAGCACGUGAAAUUCCGUCGGAAUCUGGGAGGACCAUCUCCUAAGGCUAAAUACUCUCUAGUGACCGAUAGUGAACCAGUACCGUGAGGGAAAGGUGAAAAGCACCCCGGAAGGGGAGUGAAAUAGAACCUGAAACCGUGUGCUUACAAGUAGUCAGAGCCCGUUAAUGGGUGAUGGCGUGCCUUUUGUAGAAUGAACCGGCGAGUUACGAUUUGAUGCAAGGUUAAGCAGUAAAUGUGGAGCCGUAGCGAAAGCGAGUCUGAAUAGGGCGUUUAGUAUUUGGUCGUAGACCCGAAACCAGGUGAUCUACCCUUGGUCAGGUUGAAGUUCAGGUAACACUGAAUGGAGGACCGAACCGACUUACGUUGAAAAGUGAGCGGAUGAACUGAGGGUAGCGGAGAAAUUCCAAUCGAACCUGGAGAUAGCUGGUUCUCUCCGAAAUAGCUUUAGGGCUAGCCUCAAGUGAUGAUUAUUGGAGGUAGAGCACUGUUUGGACGAGGGGCCCCUCUCGGGUUACCGAAUUCAGACAAACUCCGAAUGCCAAUUAAUUUAACUUGGG
rnacentral:rRNA from 1 species